UNGGAAUUACUGGGCGUAAAGCGGGCGCAGACGGUUACUUAAGCGGGAUGUGAAAUCCCCGGGCUCAACCCGGGAACUGCGUUCCGAACUGGGUGGCUAGAGUGUGUCAGAGGGGGGUAGAAUUCCACGUGUAGCAGUGAAAUGCGUAGAGAUGUGGAGGAAUACCGAUGGCGAAGGCAGCCCCCUGGGAUAACACUGACGUUCAUGCCCGAAAGCGUGGGUAGCAAACAGGAUUAGAUACCCUGGUAGUCCACGCCCUAAACGAUGUCGAUUAGCUGUUGGGGCACUUGAUGCCUUAGUAGCGUAGCUAACGCGUGAAAUCGACCGCCUGGGGAGUACGGUCGCAAGAUUAAAACUCAAAGGAAUUGACGGGGACCCGCACAAGCGGUGGAUGAUGUGGAUUAAUUCGAUGCAACGCGAAGAACCUUACCUGGUCUUGACAUGUACGGAACCUUCCAGAGACGGAAGGGUGCCUUCGGGAGCCGUAACACAGGUGCUGCAUGGCUGUCGUCAGCUCGUGUCGUGAGAUGUUGGGUUAAGUCCCGCAACGAGCGCAACCCUUGUCAUUAGUUGCCAUCAUUCAGUUGGGCACUCUAAUGAGACUGCCGGUGACAAACCGGAGGAAGGUGGGGACGACGUCAAGUCCUCAUGGCCCUUAUGACCAGGGCUUCACACGUCAUACAAUGGUCGGUACAGAGGGUAGCCAAGCCGCGAGGCGGAGCCAAUCCCAGAAAACCGAUCGUAGUCCGGAUUGCACUCUGCAACUCGAGUGCAUGAAGUCGGAAUCGCUAGUAAUCGCAGGUCAGCAUACUGCGGUGAAUACGUUCCCGGGUCUUGUACACACCGCCCGUCACACCAUGGGAGUGGGGGAUACCAGAAGCAGGUAGGCUAACCGCAAGGAGGCCGCUUGCC
rnacentral:rRNA from 1 species